rnacentral:sRNA from 1 species
GGCGUGUGGCAGCACUCGUUGGGAAAAAAGGACGUCGACUUGAGGACAACAUUGGAGGGCAGUGGAUUUGGCGUGAGGCAAGUGAGAAGCAUCGUCGUGUGGGUGGGCAUAGUGUGGCGUCUUCGUGUCUAAUCAGGUACAGGUGCAGGUGAGUCCAAAGGAUGUCGUCAGGAUGGGUAAAAUAUAUCACAGGAAGAAGAAGACAUGUAAACAAAGAAGAUUUCUGGACAGGAUUUAGGAGCAUAUCACAGAUUGAACAGGUCCCAGGUGUUGAUGGCGAUGGAUGGCCUUUUCGCAUGUGUCCUUACAUGGUCUGCGCGUUCGAGAAGAAGUUCGUCGAGUGGUGUGUACGAAGUGCAGAGAGUUAUAUUUUCGAGUGGGAGCAGGUCGCGUCAUCUUUAUUUUCGCAUGGAGAGCAGUGGAUCAUGUGAGUAAGGAUUUACGUAUUUUCCGUGUCCAUCUGUGAGUCAGGAAGAAAGUCGUCAGGUACUUGUAGGAGAGAGCCCAGAGAUCGUGCCAGAGAUGUCCGUAUGCAUGGUGUAGGAGCGUGGGCUUUCCUAUUGGCAUCUUUUGCUGGGAGCGCGGUUCCUCCUUGUGUCGUGGAGGAGGCGGUUUGCAGCAUUCAUUAUGGAGAGGGUAAACAUGCAGGAAUUUAUCUAAUUUGGUCUAGUCAGGUACGGAUACAUGUGAGUCCAGUGGAUGUCGUCAGGUUGGGUUCAAUUGCAUGGAGUGCAUGUAUAAAGGAAGACAUAUAAACAAAGAAGAUUUCUAGACGGGAUUUUAGACAUAUUAAAAAACAGCAUUGAGCAGGUCCUCAGUGUCAGUGGCAGGGGAAGGCGUUUGACGGCUGGGUGUUGUUCCAUGGUCCUGAGUUUAUUUGCCCUUUCUCCUUACGGGUUCAGCACGUUCGUAGAGGGGUUCGUCGGGCUAGUAACGUGUUCAUGUAGAGUCAACAGGUUUUUUUCCGAUAUAAGUGAGCGUCAUCAAGGAAAGAAUUUUUUUGUCUGAGUGUCUGGAUGAGUAGAAAUGUAGCGUGGGUUGCAGCGCAGUCAGGGGAUGUCCAAUUUAUUCGCCCCUAGGAUGGACUAAAUUUGGAUCAGGUCGCCGGCCAUUAGCAUGUCCAUUAGGGAUACGCUACUGCCAAGAGAAGAGGCACCCUUUUCCUUGUCAACCGA